rnacentral:misc_RNA from 1 species
CCGAGUUUUACAACUCCCAAACCCCUGCGAACAUACCUUAUCGUUGCUUCGGCGGGAUUGCCCCGGCGCUCCCGAGCCCCGGAUCCAGGCGCCCGCCGGAGGACCCAAAAACACAUGUCUAUUGUUCAGUUUCUUCUGAGUGACACAAGCAAAUAAAUCA